GAUCAUGGCUCAGGAUGAACGCUAGCUACAGGCUUAACACAUGCAAGUCGAGGGGCAGCAUGGUCUUAGCUUGCUAAGACUGAUGGCGACCGGCGCACGGGUGAGUAACACGUAUCCAACCUGCCGUCUACUCUUGGACAGCCUUCUGAAAGGAAGAUUAAUACAAGAUGGCAUCAUGAGUCCGCAUGUAAUUAAGAUUAAAGAUUUAUCGGUGUACGAUGGGG
rnacentral:rRNA from 1 species